rnacentral:rRNA from 1 species
GGAGUCUGGGCCGUGUCUCAGUCCCAAUGUGGCCGUUCAUCCUCUCAGACCGGCUACUGAUCGUCGGCUUGGUGGGCCGUUACCUCACCAACUACCUAAUCAGACGCAGGCCCAUCCUCAGGUGACGGAUUGCUCCGCCUUUGGUAUCAGUAUCAUGCGAUUCCAAUACUUCAUUCGGUAUUAGCGGUCCUUUCGGGCCGUUGUCCCCAUCCUGAGGGCAGGUUGCCUACGCGUUACUCACCCGUUUGCCACUAGGCUCAUCAAAAGCAAGCUUUCAAAUCGCCCCGUUCGACUUGCAUGUGUUAAGCACGCCGCCAGCGUUCGUCCUCGAGCCACGGAUCAAACUACU